UACGGGAGGCAGCAGUGGGGAAUAUUGCACAAUGGGCGCAAGCCUGAUGCAGCCAUGCCGCGUGUAUGAAGAAGGCCUUCGGGUUGUAAAGUACUUUCAGUCGUGAGGAAGGUGUUAAGGUUAAUAACCUUAGCAAUUGACGUUAGCGACAGAAGAAGCACCGGCUAACUCCGUGCCAGCAGCCGCGGUAAUACGGAGGGUGCGGGCGUUAAUCGGAAUUACUGGGCGUAAAGGGCACGCAGGCGGUUAAUUAAGUUGGAUGUGAAUCCCCGGGCUUAACCUGGGAAUGGCAUUCAAGACUGGUUAGCUAGAGUCUUGUAGAGGGGGUAGAAUUCCAUGUGUAGCGGUGAAAUGCGUAGAGAUGUGGAGGAAUACCGGUGGCGAAGGCGGCCCCUGGACAAAGGCUGACGCUCAUGUGCGAAAGCGUGGGGAGCAAACG
rnacentral:rRNA from 1 species